CCGGCUCACACCCUCUCCCUGCCACGUCUCUUCUUCCGAGGGCCUAUGCUCGGCUCUUCAUAGGGCGCACGUACUCGGUGCUCAGCCAGGGGCUGCUCCAGGGGCCGCUCCUACCUCUGAAAGCCAAUUGCUCACCAUGUUGAACUCCACAGACCCAGUCCGGGAGAAGAUUGAUGGCGAAGCCCACUCCGCAGAUGGGUUUUGUUCUGUCAGCUAAGUUUUCACAAGACCAUUAUGAGGGUGAGGUGAUGACCACAGAAAGCUAGCCCAUGUACACACAGGGUGAGGUGAUGACCACAGGAAGCCAGCCCAUCCCCAGGACAGAGAAUGGUUCUUUGAUCAGUACCAGGAAUGUGAUGAAAAACACGUUUGAUACCAUUGUAGUAACAGCCGCCAUUUGUUGCGGGCUCCGAUGUGCCAGGCGCGAGGCUAAGAGCCUUGAAGUCAUCCGUGUGUUUCACUGUCACCGUGUCCCUGCGAGGAAGGUCCUCUAAUCCUCCACUGUGUGCAGGUGGGGGAGCCGCAGCCCAGAGAGAUUAAGACACUUGCCCACGGGGUAGAGCCGUGAUUGGAACCAAGAUGAAUCUGGCUUCAAAUCUGUGUGUGUGACCUUUGUAAUAUUUUGCCUGCUCCUCAAAGAGGAUAACUCCAGGGGUCCAUGUCCCCACGACCUGAUGCUGUUUGAAAAGGCGAGAAGAAGGGGAAAGCGGCUCUCCACACCUUCAGCUUAACUGAGCUACAGCCAGCAUGCAGCUUCCUUGGGAUGGAUGGGUAAGGAAGAAGGCAGGCUGAGCACUGGGUACACGGUCCACAAGGAGGACUUGACAGGGUGCCAGCAGCCACCUACUGUCCCCCAAUGCCUAGGUAGAGUCACUGUGCCAAUAUCUUCCUUGUGGAGGCUGUAUUGAAGGCAGCUGUAGUGGUUUGCAUUUGAAACACCUCCACAGGCUUGUGUUCAGAAAAUUCAGUCCCCAGGUGCUGGUACUGUUUUGAAGACUAUGGGGCUUUUAAGAGAUGGGGCCUGGCUGGUAGAAAGAGGCAUUUGGGGUGGACCCUGGUCCUGGCCUCUGUUUUCUACUUCUAGAUCAGCCAGCAUGUGAGCAGAUGCUCCGGCUAGUGGUCCCACUCCUAAGGACACAGCGCUCCUUCCUACCUCCCUGCCAGGCAGGCUGAAAGCCCUCUGAAGCUUGGAGUCACCAACAAUCUUUCCCUCCUUGCUCCAGUCUGUUGGCUCAUAAUGACCCAAACCUAAGUAAGAAGGUACCGUGGGGGUCUCUGAUUUCCAAGCAAUGAUUUGAGGAUGGGUCCAUCUCCAGUGGGUACCCAGAAGCGCCUGUUCCCCAAGUGUCCUUGAAGAGUCUGUCGUUUGGCGAAAUGAAGAACAAAUACCUGAAUGAGCAUGCUCACAGUUCUUCCGUCAUAUCCUGUGCCUGGACUAGACCCAGGCUCGGGAGAGCCGCUGGGGUCGUGUGCCCUACUUCAGAAGGUCCCCAUGCCUGAAAGAGUUUUCUCCUCCCGUGUCUAUUACCUCUACCUGAGACUCAUUUUUACACUCUGUGCCAGUGCCUGGGAGGUGGGGGGGCUCUCCACUCUUGCCCGCACCCCAGUCUCUCUGUGGACCAGGUGGAGGGUAAGGAGUGGGUGAGCCUGCUACCCUUGCAGUUGCUCCACUAUCUGGGAGGAGGGUGAAUGCCAAAAUGGAUGUGGUCAUGUCUCCCACUGGAAGAUACAGAAGGGAAGAUCGGUGGCUUAACGCAGGUGCAAGGAGCCAUGUCAGCCUUGAAAAGACAGAUUGGGUGUUUCAAAUUGGUCCCUAAAACAGGCAGGUGAUUGGAUAAAAAGAGGAUUCUAAUCCAUUCAAUUAUGUGUCAAGUCCCGCACUAAGCCUGCAUAUGCAUCAUCUCUUUUGAUUGCCAUCCUAGCCCUGUGAACUAGACACUCUAUUAUCUCUGCUCUGUGGAUGAGGGAACUACGGUUCAGAAAGGCUAAGUAUCUUGUCCAGGGUCACCCAGCUAGGAAGUGGUGGAGCCGAGGUUCUAAUCCAAGUCUGUUUGACCUUCGAGUUGGAGGGACCUUGUUACCCAUUUGGAAAUGGAGUCUUGGAAUAAAGGGGUUGUCGCUUUGACCCUGCUUCUGAUUACUUGGGUAUUUCAGUUAAAUGUAUGUGUUCUUUCUUAGCAACAGGGACAUUAGGGGUCCUGUGCAUAAGACUCUUCAAACCCCAGUACCAAAAAAAGUUCUUUUUCCUCCUCGUUCUAGGGGAAGAUGUGAAAAGGACACUUGACCCAGAUACGGAGUGUCUCUUCCAAUCAGCAGAUCGCAGAGAAUGCCUCUUAAUUAAGCCGUGACCUUCACCCAGUUCAGCUGCUUCCUGUCUCUGGCUUUCUUUUCCUGCUCACGGGGCUCUGAGUGAAAACCUGGACCUGGAAAGCAUUAACUGCCUCCUGUCUUUCCUCUCCGUCGCUCUCGUGCUGGCUCCAAUCUCCCUGCCUGCCAGCUGCCCACAGGAAGUCACUGCUGGACGUCCCAAAGCCCACCAAGGCCAUGUGCCGGGAAGGAGGCAUCUUCUCUCAUCUCUCCCAACCUGUUUUCUGGUGGGGCGCCACUGCCCUGCAGCAGGUAGAGUACAGGGUAGACAAAGAAGCCGCACGAGUGGGCACCUUUCUUUCGCUCUGAGAAACCAAGAGGCAGUAGGUCUCCCAAGGCUUCCUCCCUCACCCAUGGCCUCAGCUCCAGCCGAGCUCAGUCCCCUGUCCGGUUCACCUGGCUCUGGCUGCCAGCAAUGGCGCCUCCCAGGAGUUACCACACCCUUACCUGCCCGACACCGUGUGAGGUUACCUGCUGCCCCUGACAUCGAGGAAGCCUGCUGUCAAGGGCUCCAUAACCCAGCCCAUCUUUAAUUCACUUCCUCUUCCUCUUAGAUCUGUCUUUUCACUCACACUUCAUCUUACUCGGCUGCCUCUGGCUAAAAUGCCUUCCCCUUCCUCGGCGAGGCUUUAAUCUACCCAGGUGCCAUGACCUGGAAAGAUAGCUUCCAUUGUCUGACAUUUUCCCAGCCUGCUCAGCUGUUGUAACUGCCUAGAGCCCUCAAGGAUGCACACUCUGGAACAGACACACGAUCUACCCUAAAGAAGGGUGAUUGGUGAUGUAUGCCAUGGUGUAGGAGGAAGUUAUUGAUUAGUGAUGUCUGCCGUGGUUGUAGGAGGGAGGUGUUAUUGAUGAAUGAUGCCUGCCAUGGAUAAAAGAAGGGGAGACUACUGAUUCGUGAUGCCUACCACGGAUAGAGGAGGGAGAAGUGGAUGUGGACUUUGGCUAGAGCCAGUGGAUAUCAGCCUCUCCCAUAUGGCCUAUAGCAAUGGCUUGUCUUGCUCAUCACGGGCUACCAUAUCAAUAAACAUCU